UAAUUUAAAUUAUAAACAAACCUAAAAUAGAUUUUAUGGUUUCUCGCGCUGACCCACACUUAUUAUAUUGAUAACAGGCUUUUUUGAACAUUUUCAGUUCAAAUAUGAACAAGUGUAGCCUUAUAUUGCUACUAACCGUUUUAGCUUCGCCUUUCAUAUCAAGCAACCCAACAACCAAACUACAAUGUUCCAAAAAAGGUUUUACCUGCAAGGACCAACACACAUUUUACCAAUGUAUAAAAACUCCCUCGGGACCAUACGUCUAUGUGCCAACAAAGCCUAUGUCCUGCCCCCCUGGAUUAAUGUGUGAUGACGCCAACGAACAUGAAUGUAUGGAGAACAUUUCUAAAGAAUUUAUUUUAGCUGAUAACCCUCCUGAUUUCAAUGACUUUGAAUAUAGAAAAAGUGUUAUAGAUGGUUGAUUAGUGAAGAAAUAUAUUGAAUUUCAUAUA